AUUGACCGCUGGCGGCAUGCUUUACACAUGCAAGUCGACCGGUAACAGGGCUUCGGGUGCUUACGAGUGGCGAACGGGUGAGUAAUGCAUCGGAACGUGCACCGAGGUGGGGGAUAGCGCAGCGAAAGCUGUGCUAAUACCGCUUGUGAUCUGAGGAUGAAAGCGGGUGACUAAGCAGCAAUGUUUGGCCUUGCGCCUUUUGAUAGGCGGAUGUCAGAUUAGGUAGUUGGUGGGGUAAAGGCCUACCAAGCCGACGAUCUGUAGCUGGUCUGAGAGGACGACCAGCCACACUGGAACUGAGACACGGCCCAGACUCCUACGGGAGGCAGCAGUGGGGAAUCUUGGACAAUGGGCGCAAGCCUGAUCCAGCAAUGCCGCGUGCGGGAAGAAGGCCUUCGGGUUGUAAACCGCUUUUGUUCGGAACGAAAAGGCUCUGGCUAAUACCUGGGGCUGAUGACGGUACCGAAAGAAUAAGCACCGGCUAACUACGUG
rnacentral:rRNA from 1 species